GCUGGUUGAUCCUGCCAGUAGUCAUAUGCUUGUCUCAAAGAUUAAGCCAUGCAUGUGUAAGUAUGAACUAAUUCAGAUUGCGAAUGGCUCAUUAAAUCAGUUAUAUUUUGUUUGAUGGUACCUGCAACUCGGAUAACCAUAGUAAUUCUAGAGCUAAUACGUGCAACAAAUCCGGACUUCUGAGAGGCAUGCAUUUAUUAGAUAAAAGGCCAACGCGGGCUUUGCCUGUCGCUUUGGGGAUUCAUGAUAACUCGACAGAUCGCACAGCCUUAGUGCCGGCGACGCAUCAUUAAAACCUAUCAACUUUUGAUGGUAUGAUAGUGGCCUACCAUGGUGGUGAUGGGUGACGUAGAAUUAGGGUUCCAUUCCGGAGAGGGAGCCAGAGAAACGGCUACCACAUCUAAGGAAGGCAGCAGGCGCACAAAUUACCCAAUCCUGACACGGGGAGUUAGUGACAAUAAAUAGCAAUACUGGGCUCAAUGAGUCUAGUAAUUGGAAUGAGUAUAACGAGGAUCCAUUGGAUGGGGCAAGUCUGGUGCUAGAAGCCGUGGUAAUUCCAACUCGAAUAGCGUAUAUAUAAGUUGUUAUAGUUAAAAAGCUUGUAGUUGGACCUUGGGUUGGGACGUCCGGUGCUCCUUUUGGUGUGCACCGGCCGUCUCGGCCCUUCUGCAGGCGAUGCACACCUGGCCUUAACUGGCCGGCUCGUGCCUCCGGCGCUGUUAUUUUGAAGAAAUUAGAGUGCUCAAAGCAAGCCUACGCUCUGUAUACAUUAGCAUGAGAUAACAUCAUAGGAUUUCAAUCCUAUUGUGUUGGCCUUCGGGAUUGGAUUAUUAAUUCGGCACAGUCGGUGGCAUUCGUAUUUAAUAGUCAGAGGUGAAAUUCUUGGAUUUAUGAUAGAUGAACAACUGCGAAAGCUUUUGCAUAUGAUAUUUUCAUUAAUCAAGAACGAAAGUUGGGGGCUUGAAGACGAUCAGAUACCGUCCUACUCUCAACCAUAAACGAUGCCGACCAGGGAUCAGUGGAUGUUUCUUUAAGGACUCCACUGGCACCUUAUGUGAAAGGCUGAAACAUAAAGGAAUUGACGGAAGGGCACCACCAGGAGUGGGGGGCGGAGGUGAAACUCAACACGGGGAAACUGACUAGGUCCAGACAUAGUAAGGAUUGACAUAUUGAGAGCUCUUUCUUGAUUCUAUGGGUGGUGGUGCAUGGCCGUUCCUAGUUGGUGGAGUGAUUUGUCUGGUUAUUUCCGUUAACGAACGAGACCUUAGCUUGCUAACUAACUAUGGGGUGGUGCCCCUCCACGGCCAGCUUCUUAGAGGGACUAUGGCGAUUUAAGGCCACGGAAGUUUGAGGCAGUGACAGGUCUGUGAUGCCCUUAGAUGUUCAAGGCCGCACGCCCGCCGAAUCUGAUGAACCCAGUGCGGAUAGCGCAAAGGAUUAAGAAAGAAAGAAUGUAUCCCCCGCGCCCAUUCAAGGAAGUUAGAGGGGCGGAGGUCUGUUCAGUAAACAAU
rnacentral:rRNA from 1 species